AGCGAACGCUGGCGGCAGGCCUAACACAUGCAAGUCGAACGAAGUCUUCGGACUUAGUGGCGGACGGGUGAGUAACACGUGGGAACGUGCCUUUAGGUUCGGAAUAACUCAGGGAAACUUGUGCUAAUACCGAAUGUGCCCUUCGGGGGAAAGAUUUAUCGCCUUUAGAGCGGCCCGCGUCUGAUUAGCUAGUUGGUGAGGUAAAGGCUCACCAAGGCUACGAUCAGUAGCUGGUCUGAGAGGAUGACCAGCCACAUUGGGACUGAGACACGGCCCAAACUCCUACGGGAGGCAGCAGUGGGGAAUCUUGCGCAAUGAGCGAAAGCCUGACGCAGCCACGCCGCGUGGAUGAUGAAGGUCUUAGGAUUGUAAAAUCCUUUCACCGGUGAAGAUAAUGACUGUAGCCGGAGAAGAAGCCCCGGCUAACUUCGUGCCAGCCGCCGCUGUAACAC
rnacentral:rRNA from 1 species